UGAGAAAUCCGAGGGGAACAAAAAUAAAUGGAGCAAAAAAAAGGAAGAAAAAAAAAAAGCCCAGGCAGAUGUGACAUGCUUCGCUGACAUUGCAAAGAAUCACAAGAGUUACAAGCAAGACACCUCUCUGUGGAGCCUUUGGUCGGUUGGGCAAAUCAAGAGUCCUUUGUGACUUGACGUAUCAUCUGUCAAGGUCAGGAAUUCAUCCAGAGGCCAUUCCUUGAAUAGGAGGAAGGAUGGAGAGCUCAGGAGCAACAACCGAGGAUCAAGCUGAGGAAUCAAAAUGGGAGCUGACCAUGAACUGAAGCCGAAGAUCAGGAGGAACACACAAAGGAAGUCCAGAAGAUCAGCAGAAGCCAGCCUCAUCUUCAAACCCAGUCCCUGCUUCCUUCUCCAGAUCAGAGGACGCUACCGCAGAAUCAGCAAUGACUCUGAGGCAAACUUGGGUGGGCUUUUUGGAUCUGCCAGGAAAAAUAAGGAAAUGUUUACUACUAAGGCAGGACUAAUGGCGAAGUGAUGUUUGAAGGAGCUUGAGCUGAAAACGGCGGAUGAGAGCUGUCCAAGCAACCUGCUACUUAACAUUGGCAGGAAAAAAAGAGAGAGAAAAAGGGGGGGGGGGAAACACCCUGGUCCUUUCCUCGCAUCAACAAAGAAGAUUAAAGGUUUUUACAUUGUUGGUUUAGCAAGAGAAAUGAGUGUUUGAGUUCCUUCUCCUUCAGCGUUCUCAUCCUGACUAGGCGAUAUUAACUAAUGUUUGUUUUGUGGGGCUAAAGUGAGGGCAGGAAAGGCAAUUUAUAGAGAAGAAAGAUCCGAAGAGGCCUCCGCUCGGCUUCGGAGGAAAGGUUUUUCAGCCAGGGAGGGAGGGAGGCUUCUCCUCCUCCUCCAGGGACAAAACAACGGGCGAGUAAACGCUCUAAUCCAGGGAAGAGGGAAAACAAGAAUAAAAAAAAAAAAUACAAGGCGGUUUGCUGAGGAAUUAUUUAGCAGAGGAGAGAGCCAGG